rnacentral:rRNA from 1 species
GAUGAACGCUGGCGGCGUGCCUAACACAUGCAAGUCGAACGGAGAUUCCGGACGGAAGUUUUCGGAUGGAAGACUGUAAUUCUUAGUGGCGGACGGGUGAGUAACGCGUGGGCAACCUGCCCUAUACAGGGGGAUAGCAGCUGGAAACGGCUGGUAAGACCGCAUAAGUCGGCGAGACCGCAUGGUUUUGCCGGGAAAUGAGCAAUCAGGUAUAGGAUGGGCCCGCGUCCGAUUAGCCAGUUGGCAGGGUAAAAGCCUACCAAAGCAACGAUCGGUAGCCGGACUGAGAGGUCGGACGGCCACAUUGGGACUGAGACACGGCCCAAACUCCUACGGGAGGCAGCAGUGGGGGAUAUUGCACAAUGGAGGAAACUCUGAUGCAGCGACGCCGCGUGAGUGAAGAAGUAUUUCGGUAUGUAAAGCUCUAUCAGCAGGGAAGAUGAUGACGGUACCUGACUAAGAAGCCCGGCUAACUACGUG